UGGCCCUCACCCAGUGAAGCAUUGGGGUUGUGUUUCAUUUUGUUAGCAUAGUUGUGGGCCCUGCUGGCCAGGGCAUUUUGGCCUUAGUGGGCAGGAUCGACCCCAGCAGUUUACCUUGUAAGAGGUUGUGCAGGUGCCACGUAGAGGAUGGGCGGGGGCCCCACAAGAAGGGAAACACUGGCUGGAGGAGUCACGGGGGCAUGUGGACUGAGCUAUCAAGUCAGUCCUUGAAGCAGAAAGGCUAAGCCCCUUAACGUCUCCCUUCUUCCAAGGAAAGAAUACACUGGCUGGAGGAGUCUCUGGGGCAUGAGGAUCGAGCUAGAGAGUCAGUCCUUGAAGCAGAAAGGCUAAGCCCGUUAAUGUCUCCCAUCUUACAAACCACAGAGCAAUGUGUCCAGUGUUUUAAUGACGGGUACCUACUGCUUACGUGUAUGACAUACACCCUCAUAGCUUCACAUGUCUACUACAUGCCUCUUACAAGUGCUGGGCACUGUUCUGGGUGCUGGACACCCAGUAUGUAGUAGGGGAUACGUAGCCCAGGAUCUUUCUGUUUCUGCAAAGAAAAACAGAAGAACGAAAGACUCCGUGUGGUUCAGCUUGAGCAAGUUCACCACGUGGACGGCCCUGCGUGCAUGUAAAUUGUGGUAAAAUACAUAUAACAUAAAUUUUACAUUUUACCCAGUUGACUGAAUGACUGGGUGGCUUCAGUGGAGUCAGGCUAACAGAUGGCCUUGGGGUGCCAUCUGCCUUUGUCCCAGAGGAACACUCCAAAGCUUGGUGGCCUUGUAGACCUUCCCUUUAUUCUUCACUCUCCCCAGUGGCUCUAGGUCAUUGGUCUGUGUGUCAUUUAAGAAUCUCUUUAUCCACUUUGUUGCUAGGUUUAUGUUUUGGAAAGCUUCUCAGGCGUCCCUGGGUCUUGAGAAGGCAGGCUUGGAUUCCGGGUUCUCCCCUGCUGCGUGCCUGCCAGGUCGAGGUGGAGGCCAAAGGCCAGUCUGAGUUGUGGUGGUCUGUGUGGUCUUGGGGUCAGUGGACCCCCUCUUCUCUGGAGGGGCAAGGAGAUCCUUUGUGUGAAGCCUGGAGAGACUUGACAGGGUCAGUCUUCACAGUCUUGCUCUCUUUUUAAUUUAUGUUUGCAUUUAGUUUCUCAUUUAAGUGUUUUCUAGGAGUUUCCAACUCCUAGUGUAGAACUCAAAACAUGCAGGGAGCAGCUUCUUAAAAGAGAAGGAGAAAUUGCUGAACUGAAAGCAGAAAGAAGCAACACCAGGGUCAGCAGGGGGAUUCUCACGUGUUGACAUUUGCCCCACGUGGGUCACCGCUAGCCUCCGUGUUGCUGUCUUUAAACUCUUGUCUGAUUUUCAAGUCAUUUUUCACAUCUUCCCACUGAGAAGACCAGGGUGGAUCAGUUUGUGGUUCUCAUACCUUACUUCAAAUUUAUGAUGAGAGCUAAUGUAAUUUUAGUACCUUUGAGAGGGGAGUUCUCAACUUACAUUUUUGUCCAUGCUACACUUUGUGUGGGAUCUUAGUUCCCCAAUCAGGGAUUAAAACCCAUGACCCCUGCAGAAGGGUGGAGUCGUAACUACUGGGCCCCUGGGGAAGUCCACUCUUAACUUUAGACUGAACUGGCAGGAUUCCAACGUGCCUUAGCAUGUUUCCAGCUGUAGCGUGAGGCUGAAAGGAGCUGUCGGGCCUGAAGUCAAGCAUGAGGUUGAAAGUGCCCCUUUGGCCCUGCCCUGCAGCUGCUGUUGGAGCACCUGGGGUUACUGGUUGCCCGGUACAUUCCAUCCUUCCGGAUUACAGUGGGCAAGCGGCAGGCACAGUCCCCAGCUAACAUGACCAGCGAGGUGGAGGUGCUCAGGGCACUGAAACUGCUGUUUGAGCACCACAAGGCCCUGGACGAGAAGGUACCAGCCACCCAUCCAUCCUGGAUUUGUACACUUAGUGCCUUGUUUUGACCUCACCGAGUGCCUGGAAGUGCUGUGUUCCUUCCCUCUCAAAACAGGGCUAAGGCUUCCUUUCCCCCUUAGGGACUCUCCUACGGCUCUCUAAGCCAUGAGGAAGACCUGACUAAGGUGAUUGCACUCAGGAAGUCAUAGAAAAGCAGUCACAGGAGGAGAGCCAGUUGAAGGAGCGCCUGGCAGCCCUCUCUUUCCACGUUACAGAUCUGGAGGAAGACCUGGACACGGCCAGGAAGGACCUCCUCAAGUCUAAGGACAGGAACACGAAACUGCAGUGGGACAUCCGCGAAGUGAGUGACGGCGGUCGUGUCUGCCUGAGGUGGACUGUGGGUCCCUUCUUCUCCCGGUGAUCUCAGCCUUGGGAUGGCUGCGUGAGUAAGAGCAGAGCACUGCAGAGACCACAACUGGCUGCCUCCCCACCUCUGCGUCGAGCUCUCUGGGGUAGAAGAGGCCUGGUCCAGGCAGUCCGUUGGCAGUGGACCAACACGAGGGCAGCCCUGGCACUGUGCUGCACCCUGGGUGUGGACUCCUCCUUUCCACAAGUUCUAGGGGGCCCAGUGUGCUCCUUUUGUAAAAAGUCAUUCAUCCAUUCAUUCAUUUCUUGGCGUAUAGUGGCUUUACACUGCUAUGCCAAUUUCUGCUGUACAGCAAAGUGAAUCAAUCAUCUAUCUAUCUAUCUAUCUAUCUGCCUCUCUUUUAGAUUUCCUGCCCAUUUACUUCACCACAGAGCACUGAGUAGACUUCCCUGUGCUGUACACUAGGUCCUUACUCAUGGACUUUAUGUGUAGUAUCAGUACUGUAUAUAUGUCAACCCCAGUCUCCCAGUUCAUCCCCGCCUCCACCUGCCUGUUGAAUGCUGAAAUUUCCUUCUGAUUCCCUCAGACGAGUCUGGUGACAUCUGUGGAGCCCGUUCUCUCAGAGAGAUGGGAGCAUGCUGUGUGGGCUCUGCUGAGGCAGCUUGCCUGGCCAUCUUCUCUAGUUUUCUGAGGUUCCGCUCCUUGAAGGGAUGUGUGCCAGUGAUACCGGCGGUCAGACAAGUCGUGGCGUCUGCUCACCCUGGGAUCCUCAGGCCCGAGCUGUGUGACCGUGUGGAAUCAUAAUGUUUCUGGCGGUCGUGUCUGCGGGGGUCAUGAUUUAUGAGAAACAUCCCGGGGAUGUGGCGCUGCUGGGGGAAUCGUCCCCACUGCCAGCCAGCCAGCCAGCCAGCCACCCUGUCCUUCUGGUGGGGAAGUGUUGCCCCGCGCUGCCAGUGGGCAGUGGCUGGGGAUGGAGAGUCAGGCGGGGUUGUGCUGGCGCGGCUGUUGGGAGCGUUGCCCGGAGCCCCGUGAGCAGCUGUGGGGCCGUCCGUUGGUGGGCGGCCUGCGGUGUCAGGCGCGCUCGCAAACCCUCCCAGAGCAGGGUCACUAACAGCAUGUAAAUUGUGGUAAAAUACAUAUAACAUAAAUUUUACAUUUUACCCAGUUGACUGAAUGACUGGGUGGCUUCAGUGGAGUCAGGCUAACAGAUGGCCUUGGGGUGCCAUCUGCCUUUGUCCCAGAGGAACACUCCAAAGCUUGGUGGCCUUGUAGACCUUCCCUUUAUUCUUCACUCUCCCCAGUGGCUCUAGGUCAUUGGUCUGUGUGUCAUUUAAGAAUCUCUUUAUCCACUUUGUUGCUAGGUUUAUGUUUUGGAAAGCUUCUCAGGCGUCCCUGGGUCUUGAGAAGGCAGGCUUGGAUUCCGGGUUCUCCCCUGCUGCGUGCCUGCCAGGUCGAGGUGGAGGCCAAAGGCCAGUCUGAGUUGUGGUGGUCUGUGUGGUCUUGGGGUCAGUGGACCCCCUCUUCUCUGGAGGGGCAAGGAGAUCCUCUGUGUGAAGCCUGGAGAGACUUGACAGGGUCAGUCUUCACAGUCUUGCUCUCUUUUUAAUUUAUGUUUGCAUUUAGUUUCUCAUUUAAGUGUUUUCUAGGAGUUUCCAACUCCUAGUGUAGAACUCAAAACAUGCAGGGAGCAGCUUCUUAAAAGAGAAGGAGAAAUUGCUGAACUGAAAGCAGAAAGAAGCAACACCAGGGUCAGCAGGGGGAUUCUCACGUGUUGACAUUUGCCCCACGUGGGUCACCGCUAGCCUCCGUGUUGCUGUCUUUAAACUCUUGUCUGAUUUUCAAGUCAUUUUUCACAUCUUCCCACUGAGAAGACCAGGGUGGAUCAGUUUGUGGUUCUCAUACCUUACUUCACAUUUAUGAUGAGAGCUAAUGUAAUUUUAGUGCCUUUGAGAGGGGAGUUCUCAGCUUACAUUUUUGUCCAUGCUACACUUUGUGUGGGAUCUUAGUUCCCCAAUCAGGGAUUAAAACCCAUGACCCCUGCAGAAGGGUGGAGUCGUAACUACUGGGCCCCUGGGGAAGUCCACUCUUAACUUUAGACUGAACUGGCAGGAUUCCAACGUGCCUUAGCAUGUUUCCAGCUGUAGCGUGAGGCUGAAAGGAGCUGUCGGGCCUGAAGUCAAGCAUGAGGUUGAAAGUGCCCCUUUGGCCCUGCCCUGCAGCUGCUGUUGGAGCACCUGGGGUUACUGGUUGCCCGGUACAUUCCAUCCUUCCGGAUUACAGUGGGCAAGCGGCAGGCACAGUCCCCAGCUAACGUGACCAGCGAGGUGGAGGUGCUCAGGGCACUGAAACUGCUGUUUGAGCACCACAAGGCCCUGGACGAGAAGGUACCAGCCACCCAUCCAUCCUGGAUUUGUACACUUAGUGCCUUGUUUUGACCUCACCGAGUGCCUGGAAGUGCUGUGUUCCUUCCCUCUCAAAACAGGGCUAAGGCUUCCUUUCCCCCUUAGGGACUCUCCUACGGCUCUCUAAGCCAUGAGGAAGACCUGACUAAGGUGAUUGCACUCAGGAAGUCAUAGAAAAGCAGUCACAGGAGGAGAGCCAGUUGAAGGAGCGCCUGGCAGCCCUCUCUUUCCACGUUACAGAUCUGGAGGAAGACCUGGACACGGCCAGGAAGGACCUCCUCAAGUCUAAGGACAGGAACACGAAACUGCAGUGGGACAUCCGCGAAGUGAGUGACGGCGGUCGUGUCUGCCUGAGGUGGACUGUGGGUCCCUUCUUCUCCCGGUGAUCUCAGCCUUGGGAUGGCUGCGUGAGUAAGAGCAGAGCACUGCAGAGACCACAACUGGCUGCCUCCCCACCUCUGCGUCGAGCUCUCUGGGGUAGAAGAGGCCUGGUCCAGGCAGUCCGUUGGCAGUGGACCAACACGAGGGCAGCCCUGGCACUGUGCUGCACCCUGGGUGUGGACUCCUCCUUUCCACAAGUUCUAGGGGGCCCAGUGUGCUCCUUUUGUAAAAAGUCAUUCAUCCAUUCAUUCAUUUCUUGGCGUAUAGUGGCUUUACACUGCUAUGCCAAUUUCUGCUGUACAGCAAAGUGAAUCAAUCAUCGAUCUAUCUAUCUAUCUAUCUGCCUCUCUUUUAGAUUUCCUGCCCAUUUACUUCACCACAGAGCACUGAGUAGACUUCCCUGUGCUGUACACUAGGUCCUUACUCAUGGGCUUUAUGUGUAGUAUCAGUACUGUAUAUAUGUCAACCCCAGUCUCCCAGUUCAUCCCCGCCUCCACCUGCCUGUUGAAUGCUGAAAUUUCCUUCUGAUUCCCUCAGACGAGUCUGGUGACAUCUGUGGAGCCCGUUCUCUCAGAGAGAUGGGAGCAUGCUGUGUGGGCUCUGCUGAGGCAGCUUGCCUGGCCAUCUUCUCUAGUUUUCUGAGGUUCCGCUCCUUGAAGGGAUGUGUGCCAGUGAUACCGGCGGUCAGACAAGUCGUGGCGUCUGCUCACCCUGGGAUCCUCAGGCCCGAGCUGUGUGACCGUGUGGAAUCAUAAUGUUUCUGGCGGUCGUGUCUGCGGGGGUCAUGAUUUAUGAGAAACGUCCCGGGGAUGUGGCGCUGCUGGGGGAAUCGUCCCCACUGCCAGCCAGCCAGCCAGCCAGCCACCCUGUCCUUCUGGUGGGGAAGUGUUGCCCCGCGCUGCCAGGGGGCAGUGGCUGGGGAUGGAGAGUCAGGCGGGGUUGUGCUGGCGCGGCUGUUGGGAGCGUUGCCCGGAGCCCCGUGAGCAGCUGUGGGGCCGUCCGUUGGUGGGCGGCCUGCGGUGUCAGGCGCGCUCGCAAACCCUCCCAGAGCAGGGUCACUAACAGCAUGUAAAUUGUGGUAAAAUACAUAUAACAUAAAUUUUACAUUUUACCCAGUUGACUGAAUGACUGGGUGGCUUCAGUGGAGUCAGGCUAACAGAUGGCCUUGGGGUGCCAUCUGCCUUUGUCCCAGAGGAACACUCCAAAGCUUGGUGGCCUUGUAGACCUUCCCUUUAUUCUUCACUCUCCCCAGUGGCUCUAGGUCAUUGGUCUGUGUGUCAUUUAAGAAUCUCUUUAUCCACUUUGUUGCUAGGUUUAUGUUUUGGAAAGCUUCUCAGGCGUCCCUGGGUCUUGAGAAGGCAGGCUUGGAUUCCGGGUUCUCCCCUGCUGCGUGCCUGCCAGGUCGAGGUGGAGGCCAAAGGCCAGUCUGAGUUGUGGUGGUCUGUGUGGUCUUGGGGUCAGUGGACCCCCUCUUCUCUGGAGGGGCAAGGAGAUCCUCUGUGUGAAGCCUGGAGAGACUUGACAGGGUCAGUCUUCACAGUCUUGCUCUCUUUUUAAUUUAUGUUUGCAUUUAGUUUCUCAUUUAAGUGUUUUCUAGGAGUUUCCAACUCCUAGUGUAGAACUCAAAACAUGCAGGGAGCAGCUUCUUAAAAGAGAAGGAGAAAUUGCUGAACUGAAAGCAGAAAGAAGCAACACCAGGGUCAGCAGGGGGAUUCUCACGUGUUGACAUUUGCCCCACGUGGGUCACCGCUAGCCUCCGUGUUGCUGUCUUUAAACUCUUGUCUGAUUUUCAAGUCAUUUUUCACAUCUUCCCACUGAGAAGACCAGGGUGGAUCAGUUUGUGGUUCUCAUACCUUACUUCAAAUUUAUGAUGAGAGCUAAUGUAAUUUUAGUGCCUUUGAGAGGGGAGUUCUCAGCUUACAUUUUUGUCCAUGCUACACUUUGUGUGGGAUCUUAGUUCCCCAAUCAGGGAUUAAAACCCAUGACCCCUGCAGAAGGGUGGAGUCGUAACUACUGGGCCCCUGGGGAAGUCCACUCUUAACUUUAGACUGAACUGGCAGGAUUCCAACGUGCCUUAGCAUGUUUCCAGCUGUAGCGUGAGGCUGAAAGGAGCUGUCGGGCCUGAAGUCAAGCAUGAGGUUGAAAGUGCCCCUUUGGCCCUGCCCUGCAGCUGCUGUUGGAGCACCUGGGGUUACUGGUUGCCCGGUACAUUCCAUCCUUCCGGAUUACAGUGGGCAAGCGGCAGGCACAGUCCCCAGCUAACGUGACCAGCGAGGUGGAGGUGCUCAGGGCACUGAAACUGCUGUUUGAGCACCACAAGGCCCUGGACGAGAAGGUACCAGCCACCCAUCCAUCCUGGAUUUGUACACUUAGUGCCUUGUUUUGACCUCACCGAGUGCCUGGAAGUGCUGUGUUCCUUCCCUCUCAAAACAGGGCUAAGGCUUCCUUUCCCCCUUAGGGACUCUCCUACGGCUCUCUAAGCCAUGAGGAAGACCUGACUAAGGUGAUUGCACUCAGGAAGUCAUAGAAAAGCAGUCACAGGAGGAGAGCCAGUUGAAGGAGCGCCUGGCAGCCCUCUCUUUCCACGUUACAGAUCUGGAGGAAGACCUGGACACGGCCAGGAAGGACCUCCUCAAGUCUAAGGACAGGAACACGAAACUGCAGUGGGACAUCCGCGAACUGCUGUUGGAGCACCUGGGGUUACUGGUUGCCCGGUACAUUCCAUCCUUCCGGAUUACAGUGGGCAAGCGGCAGGCACAGUCCCCAGCUAACAUGACCAGCGAGGUGGAGGUGCUCAGGGCACGGAAACUGCUGUUUGAGCACCACAAGGCCCUGGACGAGAAGGGCUAAGGCUUCCUUUCCCCCUUAGAGACUCUCCUACGGUUCUCUAAGCCACGAGGAAGACCUGACUAAGAUCUGGAGGAAGACCUGGACACGGCCAGGAAGGACCUCCUCAAGUCUAAGGACACGAACACGAAACUGCAGUGGGACAUCCGCGAAGUGAGUGACGGCGGUCGUGUCUGCCUGAGGUGGACUGUGGGUCCCUUCUUCUCCCGGUGAUCUCAGCCUUGGGAUGGCUGCGUGAGUAAGAGCAGAGCACUGCAGAGACCACAACUGGCUGCCUCCCCACCUCUGCGUCGAGCUCUCUGGGGUAGAAGAGGCCUGGUCCAGGCAGUCCGUUGGCAGUGGACCAACACGAGGGCAGCCCUGGCACUGUGCUGCACCCUGGGUGUGGACUCCUCCUUUCCACAAGUUCUAGGGGGCCCAGUGUGCUCCUUUUGUAAAAAGUCAUUCAUCCAUUCAUUCAUUUCUUGGCGUAUAGUGGCUUUACACUGCUAUGCCAAUUUCUGCUGUACAGCAAAGUGAAUCAAUCAUCUAUCUAUCUAUCUAUCUGCCUCUCUUUUAGAUUUCCUGCCCAUUUACUUCACCACAGAGCACUGAGUAGACUUCCCUGUGCUGUACACUAGGUCCUUACUCAUGGACUUUAUGUGUAGUAUCAGUACUGUAUAUAUGUCAACCCCAGUCUCCCAGUUCAUCCCCGCCUCCACCUGCCUGUUGAAUGCUGAAAUUUCCUUCUGAUUCCCUCAGACGAGUCUGGUGACAUCUGUGGAGCCCGUUCUCUCAGAGAGAUAGGAGCAUGCUGUGUGGGCUCUGCUGAGGCAGCUUGCCUGGCCAUCUUCUCUAGUUUUCUGAGGUUCCGCUCCUUGAAGGGAUGUGUGCCAGUGAUACCGGCGGUCAGACAAGUCGUGGCGUCUGCUCACCCUGGGAUCCUCAGGCCCGAGCUGUGUGACCGUGUGGAAUCAUAAUGUUUCUGGCGGUCGUGUCUGCGGGGGUCAUGAUUUAUGAGAAACAUCCCGGGGAUGUGGCGCUGCUGGGGGAAUCGUCCCCACUGCCAGCCAGCCAGCCAGCCAGCCACCCUGUCCUUCUGGUGGGAAAGUGUUGCCCCGCGCUGCCAGUGGGCAGUGGCUGGGGAUGGAGAGUCAGGCGGGGUUGUGCUGGCGCGGCUGUUGGGAGCGUUGCCCGGAGCUCCGUGAGCAGCUGUGGGGCCGUCCGUUGGUGGGCGGCCUGCGGUGUCAGGCGCGCUCGCAAACCCUCCCAGAGCAGGGUCACUAACAGCCGCCAGGGGGCGCCCUUCGCCCGUGAUCUUCCUCUUCAGGCUUGGUUUCUCCUCUCCCCUGGCAUGUCUGCUGUCCCUCCCAGGUUGGCCUUGUAGUCUGACCUUUCGUCUUCGGAAGCUCUGCCUCUAAGGAGGCUAAAUGGUUCGAACUUCCCUCCCAGCUUAGGAAGGUAGAAUGUGUGCCUCGUGCGUCCCGCACUUGGCGCUGCCUGCUGCCUGUGCUGGCUUGCCACAGGCAGUCCGAGGAGGGGGCGCAGAGGCCGCGGUUGCAGGGCCGGGGCAGGGGGAGUACGUCUCCUCUCACCAGCCGGUCACCAGCACCCUCCGUGAUCCAGGCGUCACACACAAAGCCACACAGGCUGCGUGAGCAGGCAUGCGGGCAUGCCCCCCACGAGCCCGGGGCCAGUGGUCCGCACAGAGCACGGCCCACUUGCCGCCCGUACAGUCCCAGCCCGCGUGCCGUCAGGACAGGGUCGUUGCGAGCGGAGCUGACGCUGUUCUUGGCCAACAGGUGGGAGAGAGUCACGGCAGCAUCGAGGAUAGGCUGUACCAGAUGGAGGCCCAACUGGAGGAGAAGAACAAGGAGCUGCAGCGGGUGCCUGUGCUGAUGGGGAGGCAGCGUCUGGGCGGGAGAUGAGGCUUGGGUGGGGGCCAGUGCUGCCUUUCUUCGCUGCUCCCUUCUCUGCCUCCAAGUGUGUGCCUGUGUGGCCCCAUCUGCUGAUCCGGGCACCCACCUCCUCGGGAGCAGGGCCAGAGGUGGUCGCCCAUAGGCAGUGGGCAGGAGCCAGGGCCUCCCCACAUUCAAAGAGGCUGCUUGUUGCUCUGACCAGCCAGUCCGGGGAGCUGCUUGGGAUACAGGUGGACCUCACGACUGCCCCUCAGACAAACCUGGGGUGCCAGCCCGGGGCCCAUGAAACUGAAGGCAUGGCGCCCAGGUGUGGAGCCUGCUUGCCUCGGACGUGGCGCUGGAGUCCCACAUGCCAAACCGCUGGUCCAGACACGGUGUGUGUGUAGGAUGGCUGCCUCUAGACAGGAGAACCGCAGUUGCGCUGCAACAGAAGGCGCGUCAGGAAAGGGUGAUGGUGGAGGCUCGCGUCACCGAGUCCUGAGAGAGGUUUCCUGGAAAGGUUGGCCACACGGCGAUACAGACCAUUCAGGAAAUGGACUGGGGAUCCCGGGUCCAGCCUCACAUGUCAGUACUGUCCCCACUAUGCCUGUGUUCUUGGGCCUGGACUGCAGAGCCUCAAAGAUGGACUCCCAGGGGGCAAUGGUUCUGACUCCCAUAGUGAGCUCUGUGGUGAGGCGCCCUCCCGGCUUAGGCAGAGAGCUCAAUGGCUCCCGAUCAGGGGUGCUCUUCCUUACUUUCAGAACUGCUAUUCAGAGGCUGUUGAGAUCAGGAUGCUGUUUAUGACUAAGCCAAUUCAAAGUCAACUUUUGUUUUGCUUUAAAAAUCUUUGAAUGCCAAUGCCUUAUUGUGGAAGCUGUGACAGGUUUUGUUUCCUUGGGCUCAAAAAUCACUGCAGACGGUGACUGCAGCCAUGAGAUUAAAAAAUGCUUGCUCCUUGGAAAGCCAUGACAAGACAUAGACAGCAUAUUGAAAAGUAGAGACAUCACUUUGCCGACA